rnacentral:rRNA from 1 species
UGUGACUGCGUACCUUUUGUAUAAUGGGUCAGCGACUUAUAUUCUGUAGCAAGGUUAACCGUAUAGGGGAGCCGGAGGGAAACCGAGUCUUAAUUGGGCGUUAAGUUGCAGGGUAUAGACCCGAAACCCGGUGAUCUAGCCAUGGGCAGGUUGAAGGUUGGGUAACACUAACUGGAGGACCGAACCGACUAAUGUUGAAAAAUUAGCGGAUGACCUGUGGCUGGGGGUGAAAGGCCAAUCAAACCGGGAGAUAGCUGGUUCUCCCCGAAAGCUAUUUAGGUAGCGCCUCGUGAAUUCAUCUCCGGGGGUAGAGCACUGUUUCGGCUAGGGGGCCAUCCCGGCUUACCAACCCGAUGCAAACUGCGAAUACCGGAGAAUGUUAUCACGGGAGACACACGGCGGGUGCUAACGUCCGUCGUGAAGAGGGAAACAACCCAGACCGCCAGCUAAGGUCCCAAAGUCAUGGUUAAGUGGGAAACGAUGUGGGAAGGCCCAGACAGCCAGGAUGUUGGCUUAGAAGCAGCCAUCAUUUAAAGAAAGCGUAAUAGCUCACUGGUCGAGUCGGCCUGCGCGGAAGAUGUAACGGGGCUAAACCAU